rnacentral:lncRNA from 1 species
UGGGGAGGCAUGUGCGGCUAUUCUGGUGGUGGUGGCUGCGAAGCCGAAUUUGAUGGUGGUGUUGCUGAUAGAGGUGCAGGAAUGGCUUGAUCAGGCUACGGUGCAGCCGAUGGAGGUACAAAAGCAUCCCGGAUCGUCUAAACAGUAAUCGUCAGAUUUUGAACCUACUGAAAGAGUAGGUUGAACUGAUCCACCCUCACCACUGCAGGCUAAGGAGGAAGAGGAGUUUCUGCCAAUGA